CUCAAAAUUCCUAUAAAGUAGCCAAGGUCAAAACCUCAAAGCACACAGAAAAGGCUUGAAAAAUGCACUAAUUGGGAUCUAUACCUCACUGAUGAUAGAAACCAAGCUAGGGCACAGAACUAGGAACAAUACAGAAUUAAAUUGGGUUAUCUAGGUUCUCAUUUGCCCAUGUCACACCUGUGACCCCAGAAAGGUUAGAAAUGAGGUCGUCAUUGUACAGCGCUACGGAAUUUGCUGGUGCUAUAUAAAAUAAUAAU